UCCCUUGUAGCUCAGUUAGUAAAGAAUCUGCCUGUAGUGCAGAAACCCAGGUUCGAUCCCUGGGUUGGGAA
rnacentral:tRNA from 1 species